rnacentral:rRNA from 1 species
GAUGAACGCUAGCGGCAGGCUUAAUACAUGCAAGUCGUGGGGCAGCAUGAAUGUAGCAAUACAUUUGAUGGCGACCGGCAAACGGGUGCGGAACACGUACACAACCUUCCUAUAAGUGGGGAAUAGCCCAGAGAAAUUUGGAUUAAUACCCCGUAACAUAACGAUGUGGCAUCACAUUGUUAUUAUAGCUUCGGCGCUUAUUGAUGGGUGUGCGGCUGAUUAGAUAGUUGGCGGGGUAACGGCCCACCAAGUCUACGAUCAGUAGCUGAUGUGAGAGCAUGAGCAGCCACACGGGCACUGGGACACGGGCCCGACUCCUACGGGAGGCAGCAGUAAGAAAUAUUGGUCAAUGGACGCAAGUUUGAACCUGCCAUGCCGCGUGAAGGAUUAAGGUCCUCUGGAUUGUAAACUUCUUUUAUCUGGGACGAAAAAAGGCUUUUCUAAGUCACUUGACGGUACCAGAUGAAUAAGCACCGGCUAACUCCGUGCCAGCCGCCGCCGUAACAC